AGGUCAAGCUACAAAGGGCGCAUGGUGAAUGCCUUGGCAUCAGGAGCCGAUGAAGGACGUGAUAAGCUGCGAUAAGCUUCGGGUAGGCGCACAUAGCCUGAGAUCCGAAGAUCUCCGAAUGAGGAAACUCACAUGGGAAACCCCAUGUAUCAUUAAGUGAAUACAUAGCUUAAUGAAGGUAACCCAGGGAACUGAAACAUCUAAGUACCUGGAGGAAGAGAAAGAAAAAUCGAUUUUCUUAGUAGCGGCGAGCGAAAGGGAAAGAGCCCAAACCGGAAACUUGUUUCCGGGGUUGUGGACAUAGCAUAAAAGUGGAGGCUAUUGUAACUGAAGAGAACUGGAAAGUUCCACCGUAGAAGGUAAUAGUCCUGUAAGUGAAACGAGAAGACCACGAGUUAUGAUCCAGAGUACCACGAGACACGUGAAACCUUGUGGGAAGCAGGGAGGACCACCUCCCAAGGCUAAAUACUACCUGAUGACCGAUAGUGAAGCAGUACCGUGAGGGAAAGGUGAAAAGAACCCCGGGAGGGGAGUGAAAUAGAACCUGAAACCGUGUGCCUACAACCGCUCAGAGCCCCUUAUGAGGGUGAUGAGGUGCUUUUUGUAGAACGAGCCAACGAGUUACGGUAUGUAGCAAGGUUAAGUACUUAAGGUACGGAGCCGAAGGGAAACCGAGUCUGAAUAGGGCGACUAGUUGCAUGCCGUAGACCCGAAACCGGGUGACCUAUCCAUGGCCAGGUUGAAGCGAGGGUAAAACCUCGUGGAGGACCGAACCACGUUGCUGUUGAAAAAGCAUGGGAUGAGCUGUGGAUAGCGGAGAAAUUCCAAUCGAACCCGGAGAUAGCUGGUUCUCUCCGAAAUAGCUUUAGGGCUAGCGUCGAGUAUGAGUAGUGGAGGUAGAGCACUGAAUGGGCUAGGGGGCAUAGCGCUUACCGAACCUUAUCAAACUCCGAAUGCCACAUACUUUGAGCUCGGCAGUCAGACUACGAAUGAUAAGAUCCGUGGUCAAAAGGGAAACAGCCCAGAUCGUCAGCUAAGGUCCCAAAGUGUAAGUUAAGUGGGAAAGGAUGUGAGAUUUCUAAGACAACUAGGAUGUUGGCUUAGAAGCAGCCAUUCAUUAAAAGAGUGCGUAAUAGCUCACUAGUCGAGAGAUCUUGCGCCGAAAAUGUAACGGGGCUAAACUUACCACCGAAGCUACGGGCUUGAACUUAGUUCAAGCGGUAGGAGAGCGUCGUAACCGGGCUGAAGUCGUACCGUAAGGAGCGGUGGACUGGUUACGAGUGAGAAUGUUGGCAUCAGUAGCGAGAUGUGGGUGAGAAUCCCACAGGCCGAAAACCUAAGGUUUCCUCAGGAAGGUUCGUCCGCUGAGGGUUAGUCGGGACCUAAGCCGAGGCCGAAAGGCGUAGGUGAUGGACAACUGGUUGAUAUUCCAGUACCACUACCAUCGUUAUUAUCGAUGGCGUGACGCAGGAGGAUAGUGUGUGCUAGCUAUUGGAUGCUAGUCUAAGCGUUUAGGCAGUGAGAGUAGGCAAAUCCGCUCUCAUAAUGCUGAGNNNNNNNNNNNNNNNNNNNNNNNNNNNNNNNNNNNNNNNNNNNNNNNNNNNNNNNNNNNNNNNNNNNNNNNNNNNNNNNNNNNNNNNNNNNNNNNNACGGAACCGAAGUACAUGAUUCCACGCUGCCAAGAAAAGCGUCUAGAGAGAGAAGUAGUGCCCGUACCGCAAACCGACACAGGUAGGUGAGGAGAGAAUCCUAAGGCCGGCGGAAGAAUUACAGUUAAGGAACUCGGCAAAUUGACCCCGUAAGUUCGCGAGAAGGGGUGCCUACGAGAGUAGGCCGCAGAGAAUAGGCCCAAGCAACUGUUUAGCAAAAACACAGGUCUCUGCUAAAGCGUAAGCUGAUGUAUAGGGGCUGACGCCUGCCCGGUGCUGGAAGGUUAAGGGGAACACUUAGCGCAAGCGAAGGUGUGAACUUAAGCCCCAGUAAACGGCGGCCGUAACUAUAACGGUCCUAAGGUAGCGAAAUUCCUUGUCAGGUAAGUUCUGACCCGCACGAAUGGCGUAAUGACUUGGGCACUGUCUCAACUGUAAAUCCGGCGAAGUUGUAGUGCGAGUGAAGAUGCUCGCUACCCGCGAUUGGACGGAAAGACCCCGUAGAGCUUUACUGUAGCUUAGCAUUGAGUUUUGGUAUUGUCUGUACAGGAUAGGUGGGAGACUAGGAAACCAGGGCGUCAGCCUUGGUGGAGUCAACCUUGGGAUACCACCCUGACAGUACUGAAAUUCUAACUGGCGGCCAUGAAUCUGGUCACAGGACAUUGUUAGGUGGGCAGUUUGACUGGGGCGGUCGCCUCCUAAAAAGUAACGGAGGCGCCCAAAGGUUCCCUCAGAACGGUCGGAAAUCGUUCGAAGAGUGCAAAGGCAGAAGGGAGCCUGACUGCGACACCCACAAGUGGAGCAGGGACGAAAGUCGGGCUUAGUGAUCCGGUGGUACCUCGUGGGAGGGCCAUCGCUCAACGGAUAAAAGCUACCUCGGGGAUAACAGGCUGAUCUCCCCCAAGAGUCCACAUCGACGGGGAGGUUUGGCACCUCGAUGUCGGCUCGUCGCAUCCUGGGGCUGAAGUAGGUCCCAAGGGUUGGGCUGUUCGCCCAUUAAAGCGGCACGCGAGCUGGGUUCAGAACGUCGUGAGACAGUUCGGUCCCUAUCCGUCGCGGGCGUAGGAAAUUUGAGAGGAGCUGUCCUUAGUACGAGAGGACCGGGAUGGACUGACCUCUGGUGUACCAGUUGUUCCGCCAGGAGCACAGCUGGGUAGCUAAGUCGGGAAUGGAUAAACGCUGAAAGCAUCUAAGCGUGAAGCCAACCUCAAGAUGAGAUUUCCCAUAGCGUAAGCUAGUAAGAUCCCUUGAAGAACACAAGGUUGAUAGGUCGGGGGUGUAAGCAUGGUAACAUGUUCAGCUGACCGAUACUAAUAGAUCGAGGGCUUGACCAAAU
rnacentral:rRNA from 1 species